rnacentral:lncRNA from 1 species
AAGUUAAGAGAAAAGAAGGGGGCCAGUGCCAGUGGAUGAUGUAAAGACAUGAAAACAAGCCAAUGAAUGAUGAGGUGGACGACACUCGUCUCUUGAUUUAUUGUGCCAAGAAAACCUAUGUGUAUUUUGUCCUUAAAGUUCCUGGGUGAAGCACAGAUACCAGAAUAGAAAAACGUGUCUGGUUUGAUGAAUCAUGUGUGGGUUUCUGUGUGUGAAAGUUGUUGUAUUUCACCCUUUUAUAAUGACAAAUAAUAGUGCCUGUCAAUCCCAUCAUGCCAAUAUCCUACAGCUUAGUGUGCUAAUAACAUUUUUAGUUGUUUUGGAAAUCAGCUAGACAGCAUGGCUCAAAUUUAUGUCCUGAUUUAACCUGGAACAAACCCUCUCCACUGGCGCUGAGUCCAAAUUCCAAAUUCCUGAUAACAGUUUUAUAUUAGGUUAAAAGCACCAAUAACAUUUAGAAAGGCGAUAUCCAUGACUGGACAUGUGGGUUCAAUUUGAUCAGACUCUCCUCUCUCCCUCCUUCCCUCAAGGCAAAAUGGAAAACAACCCUCCAUCCCCAGCAACUUCAGAAUCAUCCACUGCCACACGGGUGUUUGGUACCAGGAUCAGUGAUCGGGAUCUGACUGAGAUUGAGCUACAUUCCGUGGAGUCCAUUAACGAUCUGCACCGAACCCAUCCAGAACCCAACCACAAAGGUAGCAGACGGCCUCCCCUUCCUCCCGCUCCUUCCACCAAUGGGAACCUCCAUCCCAGGGACAGACCAUUUAUUAGUCAGACAGGGCGUCCAAUUAAAAGACGGUGGCAGAACACGCUUCGAGACCUGUUGACACCUAAGUCGUGUCGACACACCUGGGCGGUUGCAGUGACAGCCCUGAUGCUAUUGACAAUACUUUUCAUCUGUUUCUUAGUGCGGCAGGGCAGUGCUCUCCAGUCCCUAAGCGAGGCAGUGAGGACUGGAGAGCAGGCUGUGGCCCUAAGAAUCUCGGAACUCAUCCAGGAGCUGAAGAUACUCCGCAAUAACUUAACAGCCAUCACAGAAGGAUCCCGAAGUGGCCAAUGA